CACUUUCAGCAGUGGAUGUCUAGGCUCGC
rnacentral:rRNA from 1 species